CUAAUCUGUGUGUGCUGUAGUGACCAGCGGCUCCUAACGUGUCUGUGUGAUGACCAGUUGUCCUCCAAAAACCUCACUCACCACGGAGUCCCCCUGAGGGCCCCGGGCAGUUGCCCCGGCCGCCCAGUGACGCCCACCGGCUCCCUCCGUUCCCUCCUGUCACCUACCAGGGCAGACCCCACUAAGCCGCUGAGUCCCUUCCUGGAAGACCCUGGGGGCCGAUAGCUUUACCUAGGACUCUCCAGGGUCGCUGAUCCUCCCUGGCCUAGGGCUGCCAGGACCAAGUUCCUCUCUGCAGGAUCUCACAGCAGCCCUGAGAAGACGUGGAAGGAAGAAGCCAGUGGCCCCGGCGUGGACCCUGCCCUUUGGACAUCCCAUGGACUUCUCACCCAGUCGCCUGGAAGUCGGGGAGCAGCAGCCCUGCCCCCGGCGGAGGGGUUGUUGCUUUCUGGGGAGGAGGACGGUUGACGGCCCUGCCUGGAUCCACCACCAGGACGCUGUGCUCGGCCACGGCGCGCCUCCCCCAAGGGCUCAUCCAUGCAACAACCACAUGCCAACGAUAGCUCCAGGUGCCUCAGUCCAUGCCCUGACCCAGGGACCACAGGGACACCCUCUGAGACGUGCUGGCCCUGGGAGGAUACAGGCACACGGGCACCUAGCCCCUCUCGGAGCCAGGCAUGUCUUGACGGUGUCUGCUAACAGGAACAAGUCAUUCUGAAAGGUCCCUCUGACCCAGGUCACCAAAUUUGGGCCAGAACUGGCAUUUCUCCUGAGUACCCACUGGUGCUGGCGUCCUCACAGUGCUGGGCGCCAAGUUCAGCCCCAGGCGCGUUUGCCUAAGCAGUGCUGGCUGCCAUCUCUCAGGGCCCAGGCCCUCACGUGAAGGGCUGCCUCACUCUGUGGUGUCAGGCAUUGGACUGUGUCCUGAUUCCUCAGAAUAUGGGGACCUGAUAUCUUUGGGUCCCCAAGAGUUGGCUCUUGGAUGUGGGGGCUUGAUGCCGCGGUUGGCGGCUGCAGUAUCUGGGUCCAGGGAAGCCACUGCCUCAGCAGGGACAGCCUCUCCCGCUGCAGGCCCUGGGCAGCCCACAGUAGUGCUAGCUGAGGCCCAGAG